CAAUUACGAACAAUGAAACAUUUUUCUUUUAAGUGAAUUUCUAUUAUAAUAGAAGUUUGUCAAGUACAUCUCAGUGAAGCAGAAAAUCUUCAGGCGAACAUUGACAUCGAAGUGAAACCCUAUGAUAUCAAGAAAAAUCCUAUGGAACAAAGAAGCAGAUAAUGAUCACAGAAGUGCAACAAAGAGCACCAGGACCUGAUCAUCAAAUGUUAUGGUGUUGAUCUAAUCAGGAACAAGACACCUAAGUUGAACUCUGGCAAGGUUGUCCCAUGCAGAAGGUUUGAUACCCAGGCUUCUUUUGUACAAGUCCCUAGUCCACCCUCAUCUUGAGAACUGUUCCGGUGUCUGGGAUCCCUACAACAUCUCAGAUGUCCAGGACGCUACUUCACAAUGGGGACCACAAGAGAAGCAGCAGUUUGACUGAGAUGAUCAGCACCUUUUAGUUGCCUACUAUAUCUACAACUACAAGGCACUCUGCAAGAAGACUGGGAAUGGUGCACAAGAUAGUCAAUGGUCUC